UACGAGGGGUGCAAGCGUUGCUCGGAAUUAUUGGGCGUAAAGGGUAGGUAGGUGGUCUCAUUUGUCUAGGGUGAAAGCCUUGAGCUUAACUCAAGAAGUGCCCUAGAAACGGUGAGACUGGAGUCUUGGAGAGGGUCGUGGAAUUCCCGGUGUAGAGGUGAAAUGCGUAGAUAUCGAGAGGAACACCAGUGGCGAAGGCGAGUCCCUGGACAACACCUGACACUGAGGCACGAAAGCUAGGGGAGCAAACAGG
rnacentral:rRNA from 1 species